rnacentral:rRNA from 1 species
UACGUAGGGUGCAAGCGUUGUCCGGAAUUAUUGGGCGUAAAGAGCGUGUAGGCGGCCCGAUUAGUCCGCUGUGAAAGUCCAGGGCUCAACCCUGGAAUGCCGGUGGAUACUGUCGGGCUAGAGUCCGGAAGGGGCGAGUGGAAUUCCUGGGUGUAGCGGUGAAAUGACGCAGAUAUCAGGAGGAACACCAAUGGCGAAGGCAGCUCGCUGGGACGUGACU